CGGGAGGCAGCAGUAGGGAAUCUUCCACAAUGGACGAAAGUCUGAUGGAGCAACGCCGCGUGAGUGAUGAAGGUUUUCGGAUCGUAAAACUCUGUUGUUAAAGAAGAACAAGUGUUAGAGUAACUGUUAACACUUUGACGGUAUUUAACCAGAAAGCCACGGCUAACUACGUGCCAGCAGCCGCGGUAAUACGUAGGUGGCAAGCGUUGUCCGGAUUUAUUGGGCGUAAAGCGAGCGCAGGCGGUUUUGUAAGUCUGCUGUGAAAGCCCUCAGCUCAACUGAGGAAGUGCAGUGGAAACUACAAAACUUGAGUACAGAAGAGGAAAGUGGAACUCCAUGUGUAGCGGUGAAAUGCGUAGAUAUAUGGAAGAACACCAGUGGCGAAGGCGGCUUUCUGGUCUGUUACUGACGCUGAGGCUCGAAAGCAUGGGUAGCGAACAGGAUUAGAUACCCUGGUAGUCCAUGCCGUAAACGAUGAAUACUAGGUGUUGGAGGGUUUCCGCCCUUCAGUGCCGCAGCUAACGCAUUAAGUAUUCCGCCUGGGGAGUACGACCGCAAGGUUGAAACUCAAAGGAAUUGACGGGGGCCCGCACAAGUGGUGGAGCAUGUGGUUUAAUUCGAUGCUACGCGAAGAACCUUACCAGCUCUUGACAUCUUCUGCCAACCCAAGAGAUUGGGCGUUCCCUUCGGGGACAGAAUGACAGGUGGUGCAUGGUUGUCGUCAGCUCGUGUCGUGAGAUGUUGGGUUAAGUCCCGCAACGAGCGCAACCCUUAUUAUUAGUUGCCAGCAUUUAGUUGGGCACUCUAGUGAGACUGCCGGUGAUAAACCGGAGGAAGGUGGGGACGACGUCAAAUCAUCAUGCCCCUUAUGAGCUGGGCUACACACGUGCUACAAUGGAUGGUACAACGAGUCGCGAAACCGCGAGGUCAAGCUAAUCUCUUAAAGCCAUUCUCAGUUCGGAUUGCAGGCUGCAACUCGCCUGCAUGAAGUUGGAAUCACUAGUAAUCGUGGAUCAGCAUGCCANCGGUGAAUACGUUCCCGGGCCUUGUACAGCACC
rnacentral:rRNA from 2 species